GACGAACGCUGGCGGCGUGCCUAAUACAUGCAAGUCGAACGCAGUGGGGACGGGUGAGUAAAACGUGGGUAACCUCCCAUCAGAGGGGAUAACACUUGGAAACAGGUGCUAAACCGAUACUGAUGGAUGGACCGGCGGUGCACUAGCCAGUUGGUGAGGUAACGGCUCACCAAGGCCACGAUGCAUAGCGGACCUGAGAGGGUGAUCAGCCACACUGGAACUGAGACACGGCCCAGACUCCUACGGGAGGCAGCAGUAGGGAAUCUUCGACAAUGGGCGCAAGUCUGACCGAGCAACGCCGCGUGUGUGAAGAAGGUUUUCGGAUCGUAAAACUCUGUCAUUAGAGAAGCGGUAUCUAACCAGAAAGCAACGGCUAACUACGUGCCAGCAGCCGCGGUAAUAC
rnacentral:rRNA from 1 species